UGCUUGUGUCUUCAGGGAUCAUCGUCAUCAUCGAAGGUUCAUGUCAGAAAAUGAAUCUCGAUUAGAAACUCAUUGGCAAAAUCUCAUGCCUUAACUCUUGCUCUAUCUCAUAUUCUAUUUCCUUAUUCAACUCUACAUAGACUCUCCACUCAUCUCAAAUCCUUAAACUCAAAGAUAGGUUUCAAGAAAAUCAUGGUUCUAAGUCUCGAUUUAUCUCUCAUAUAAGGCUCGUCUAAUCUCAUUCAAACACAUAGGCAACACAAUCACAUAAGGCACAUAAGAAAAUACAAUCAAACAUUAUCAAAACAUGCUCUGUUUUCACACUGACUCAACUUCAAAAUUUAACACGUUCUGACUCCGACAUCCCCUGGACUCGUGACUCAUACCAAAAGAAAGGUCUUUGAGUCUAGUUUCAUAUAAAAAAAGUAGAGUCGAAAAAUCCAAGUGGUUUGGGAGAUAUGACUGUUUUACUACAGUCUACCAUAUUCGGCAGUUUUGAGCAAUCGAAAACUUUGAUUUUUGAAAAAUAGUAAAUGUUGUCAAAAUGGGCUCAAAUUUGGUGGGUAUCUAUAUAACUUAAUAAGGUUAAUACCAUAAAAAUUUGGAAAUCUAGAUCACACAGGAAGCUACUGAAAUGAAUAACUCUUUCCCCUGUUCUCUGUAACUCUCGGUAGAAAUGUGCAGUUUAAGUCUUGCAUUUUAUAAAAAUAGCAAACGAAGUCCAAAUGACUUGAAAUUUUACAGGGGUGCUCAAGACUCAUGUAGGGACUUUCUAUAAAAUUUUCAAAGCUUUUUGACAUCGACAACCCGUCGAUCACAGUAGGUCAGUAGGCCUACUAAAAUCACCAAAAACUCAUCUCAAACUCUUAAAUGCUCAACUCAACAUUCCUUCAAUUAAAACCAAUCAAAGCUCAUCUUAAGCACAUAUAACACUCACAAACAUUCAACCACAUCAUAAUGCUCAUCAUACUCAAAUCAACUCUCCUCUUUUACAUCAUAAACUCAAAUCUCAAGUAAAAUGUUUCAUCUAACGCAUCAAUUCAAUUCUCUUUUCAUUCUCAUGCUCAAAAUUACUCAAUCAUUCAUAAAUGACCUCAUACUUCAUAUAACUCAUUUUACACAUAUAAAUCUCCUUUUUAUCAUGCCAACUAUACUCUAAUGACAACUCAAAUAUUAACAUAAAACUCUUAACAAAACAUGACAAACUUUCACAUAAUGGUCAUAAAGCAAAAUAGACCUCAUUUAAUCAAUCAAUGGCUUCUCAAAUUAUGAGAACUCAAAAACUCUCAUAAACUAACUCAAGUCAAAAUUUUACUUAGCCAAUAAAAGACUUAAUCAAACAUAUUAAAACACUACUAUCAUGCUCAAUUACAUAUCUCUUAAGCUAAAUCACUUAAUAGACACAUAGACAAGAAAGUCCUAAUUUUUAUUAAACUAAUUUCUUUGAAAUUCUAUAAACACACAUGGAUCUUUAAUCUCAUCAUAUAUCUAUCAAUUUUAAUCAUAUAAACUCACAUAUAUUCCAUCAAUUUACAAAUUAGAGCAUAGAUACACAUAGCCCUAAUUUUAGUAAACUAACUCAUAUCAAAAUCAUCAAUUGACAUCAUAUACUCAAUUUAAUCCAUCAAUCAUCAUCAUAUACAUCUCAUGGACUCAUAGACAUCAUCAAUUCAUCAUUUAAAGCAUCCAAUCAAAAAUUCCCAAUUUUGGGUAAACUAAACUCAUUCAAAAUUUGAAUCUCAAAGCAUAGCUUUUCAAAACACACCUCAAUCAUCACCAAACAUCACAUAGAUCACUUUUCUCACCCCAAAUCAAGGAAAGAAAAAGAAAAAUUUUUGAAGGGUUGAAGACCCAAAUUUUCGAAAAUUUUGAAGAAUAAGAGAGGGGGUGAUUUCUUGCUUCAAUCCUUCAAAUAUACUCAUAUACAAACUCAUACAAGUCUAAUCUAAGAAUAUAGAGAUCACUUACCCAAGUUUACACCAAAUAUCAAACUUUCUCUCACUAGUCUUGAAGCCAAUCUUCAAGGAUUUCCUUGGAUUCAAGUUGAUAGGAGGUGUUUAGGUGGGAUUUUGUUGGUGAUUUAUGUGUUUGGCAUAUUUUGGUGAAGCUUCGGAGGUCUCAUCCAUGGUUGACAAUGGUGGAAAGUAGAGAGAUGAAGGAGAGAGAG
rnacentral:lncRNA from 1 species